UCUCCGGGUCCCUCUUGCCCGGCCCACAUCCCCAGGGCUUUGCUGGGGCUCCCUCCCCUGGGAGUGGUGGGUGUGGCUGCCACAAGCCCAUCAGCUGAUACCCAUCCUUGCCUUUUUGUGUUUUUGUGAAGCAAGUUUCCCGUUAAGAAAAAAGGGCUAAAAAUAAUGAUGAUGUUUUUGUGCCAGAUGCAGUUAGCGAUCACAGUGUACCAUUAAAUUGAAGAGUGAGUGAGCUCUCCCAGCGGAGGACGAGGUCACUGAGGAUCAGCAGCUGCGAAUGCAGUUGCUUCUGCAAUUCUUGGAAUCCAUUUCCUACUUCGCUGGUAAGGAGGCAGAGGCAGAGUCGUGCGCGGAUUCGAAGCGCCGCUGACAGAUUAUCAGAUGGAGGCCUGCCCCGCAAUGCUGCUCCUCGGGGCCCCAGGCCCUGGCUCACAUGAGCUCCGUCUGCAGUCACGGUGCUCAGCACCUGCCAUCAAGUAGGUGCUCAGGACUUUGCUGGGUUCCAGUGAAAAGAACCUUCUGCCAAAUAAGGAGAUGCAAAGAAAAAAAAAAAAAGGCCAACAA